CAACCCUCAAGCUCUGCUUGGUGUUGGGCCCCGCCCGCUCGCGGCCGGCCCUAAAGACAGUGGCGGCAGCGUCUGGCUCCAAGCGUAGUACAGCUCUCGCUCUGGGGCUAGGCGGUAGCCUGCCACGAACCCCCCUUCUAUGG
rnacentral:misc_RNA from 1 species